GACGAACGCUGGCGGCGUGCCUAAUACAUGCAAGUAGAACGCUGAAGGAGGAGCUUGCUCUUCUGGAUGAGUUGCGAACGGGUGAGUAACGCGUAGGUAACCUGCCUGGUAGCGGGGGAUAACUAUUGGAAACGAUAGCUAAUACCGCAUAAGAGUAGAUGUUGCAUGACAUUUACUUAAAAGGUGCAAUUGCAUCACUACCAGAUGGACCUGCGUUGUAUUAGCUAGUUGGUGGGGUAACGGCUUACCAAGGCGACGAUACAUAGCCGACCUGAGAGGGGGGUCGGCCAAAACGGGACUGAGACACGGGCCAGACCCCUACGGGAGGCAGCAGUGGGGAAUUUUGGGGAAAGGGAGGAAGGCUGAACCAGCCAACGCGGGGGGGUGAAAGAGGGUUUUGGGUUGGAAAACCUUUUUUGUAGGAAAAAAACGAGUGUGAGGGAGAAAAGUUCGCACUGACGCGAUAUCAUACAAAAACGGGAGGUAAAACUACG
rnacentral:rRNA from 1 species